GGGGUACUGGUACAGAGUCAAUAUGGAGGCUAUAUACAGAGGGUACUGGUACAGAGUCAAUGUGGAGGCUAUAUACAGUGGGUACCGGUACAGAGUCAAUGUGGAGGCUAUAUACAGGGGGUACCGGUACAGAGUCAAUGUGGAGGCUAUAUACAGGGGGUACCGGUACAGAGUCAAUGUGGAGGCUAUAUACAGGGGGUACUGGUACAGAGUCAAUGUGGAGGCAAUAUACAGGGGGUACCAGUAUAGAGUCAAUGUGGAGGCUAUAUACAGGGGGUACCGGUACAGAGUCAAUGUGGAGGCUAUAUACAAGAGGGUACUGGUACAGAGUCAAUGUGGAGGCUAUAUACAGGGGGUACUGGUACAGAGUCAAUGUGGAGGCUAUAUACAGGGGGUACUGGUACAGAGUCAAUGUGGAGGCUAUAUACAGGGGGUACUGGUACAGAGUCAAUGUGGAGGCUAUAUACAGGGGGUACCGGUACAGAGUCAAUGUGGAGGCUAUAUACAGGGGGUACUGGUACAGAGUCAAUGUGGAGGCUAUAUACAGGGGGUACCGG
ensembl:lncRNA